rnacentral:tRNA from 1 species
CAGGGAAUAGUUUAAGUAUAAAAUGUUAAUUUUGGAGAUUAAUGAAAAAGUAUUAACUUUUUCUCUGA